rnacentral:rRNA from 1 species
AUGCCUCUCUCUUUAUAUCAUAGACUUGAAUUGAAUAAGUUGACACCUACUGAAAUAUCUUUGCAAAUGGCUGAUAAAUCAACUGCUAUACCUGUCGGUAUUUGUGAGGAUGUGCCUGUUGUGGUUGCAAAUGUCACUAUCUUAACGGACUUUGUUUUUGUUGAUAUUCCCGAGGACGAUAGUAUGUCAAUUAUCCUUGGUAGACCCUUUUUGAAUACUGCAGGUUCUAUUAUUGAUUGCAACAAAGGCAAUGUCACUUUUCAUGUUAACGGUAAUGAGCAUGCGGUACACUUUCCGAGGAAACAAUCUCAAGUUCAUAGCAUCAAUUCUAUUGGAAAAGUUCCAACUAUCAUUAUUGGAGGUUUUGAAUUUCCUCUCCCUACUGUCAAGAAAAAGUAUGAUAUUCUUAUUAUUGGGGAUGUUCAUAUCCCCGUUGAGGUAACCUAG